rnacentral:pre_miRNA from 1 species
GAAGUGCUAUAUUAUACUAAUUAGCACAUGACAAAUUAAGGUAUUGCCGUGCCUCAAUCUGAAUACAUGACUAUUAUAACAAAAUCAGCCAUGUACUUUGAUUGAGCCGCGUCAAUAUCUUAUUUUGCACUU